rnacentral:misc_RNA from 1 species
UGUCAAAGAUUAAGCUUCCCUCAUGCAUUUUAGAAAUGGAUCAACCCGAUAAAAUUGGUUACAAGAUUUGGAAGUUGUUCGGAUUUUGUUUUGUUGGAGCAUCUCAUGAUAAAUGUUAAGAAGCAGAUCAUCAUCAGAAUCAACAACACCUCCUAAUCCUGUGUGAUUGGUCCAAUUCCAAACUUUGUCUUUCGCCUCCCAAAACAAUCUCUGCUGCUCUCUAGAGUUGGCGAAAUA